rnacentral:tRNA from 2 species
GGCGCCUUCGUCUAGUUGGUCUAGGACGUUACCUUCUCAAGGUAAAGAUCACGGGUUCGAAUCCCGUAGGCGCUA